AGAUGGUGUAGAUCAGAUCGAUUUGAUUGCAUUAGAUGAUUUUUUCCCUUCCCCACUCCUUUCUGGAAGCUCGCAUCAGCUGAAGGCUAUCGCCUGGGACUCCUCGGAAGCAUGAGCAAGCCGCCACCACGCGAAGGCACUGGGGCACAGCCAGCGCGAGGCGCCGAGGUCCCUUCCCAAGGCUUGUUAACACUGUAACCCGGCACUCGGAGAGAAGAAGCAGCUCACACUGCCCAGAGCCUACCUCACUGCACAUCAGAUGACUCCCUGGCUUCUACACACAGUUGGAGUUCCGCUUGAAACCUGGAUUUAGAGGGGUUCUCUGGCCGCCAUGGCACUCAAUCAUACCACCUAGAGUGGACUGGCCGAGACCAGACUGGGUACCAAGCAGAGAAGUGCAGAGGAAAGCACUGGGAGAGCACCAGAAUUGGAAAUAGAGCGGCCAUUUGGAUUUGGGCAGGAAGCAGCCGAGCACAGCUUUGGAUCCUUCUUUAGGGAAAUCGAGUUAUGGAUUUAUGGUCCCGGUCAAGCUCAGCCCAUCCCCAGGCAGGGGCGGGCUCAGCGAGCAGCAAGAGUUCUGGUGGCGGCGGCGGCGGCAGUAGCAGCGGCAGCGGUAGCAGCGGCAGCGGUAGCAGCGGCAGCGGCAGCUUGGUCCUCUGACUCUCUUCGGUGACGGGUAUUCUUGGGUGGAUAAUACGGAUUACGUUGUUAUUGCUUAAGAAUACGCGUAGUCGAGGAGAGUACCAGCGGCAGGGGGGCAGCGGCCGCCCUCCCCAGCCCACCAGCUGGCCACUAAACGCCCGUGGUUGCCAAGGCAUCCAAAGCCUCUGGGAUGUGUUCUGACUGUAAAAACUCUGAUGUUGUGAAAAAAGCUUACGCUUUGCCUCCACUCAAACCAGAUGGUGUUUCGCUCUUAUUGCCCAGGCUGGAGUGCAAUGACGUGAUCUUGACUCACCACAGCCUCUGCAUCCAGGAUUCAAGCUAUUCCCCUGCCUCAGCCUCCCAAAAUGCUGGGAUUAUAGGCGUGAGCCACCACGCCUGGCCAGCAUUCCCAAUUUUUAAAAAUGAAUGAUUGGCACAAAUCUUAGAAAGCCAUUUUCUGUAGAUUUGAAAGCAAUGCUAUUUACAUUGUUACUACUUUCUUGUUAAAUCUUGCAUGUCUGCAGUAUGUGUUGUAAUAGAAACCUAAGAUUAUGAUCUGCUGUAUUCAUAUUUGAAGAAGAAAAUUUCAGACUGUAUAAUCAACUAGUUGAUGAUUCAUAUUUGCUUGUACAAAGUUAAAAGUGUAACUUGCCAGAAAAGAAGGAAGCCUGAAAAGUAUUCUAAAUACAUUAAUAAGAAGGGUUCUACAUGAAUUAAUUUUUGUUUUGCCAUCUACAGAGUUCCUGCCACAUUCUAGGCACUUCAUAUUUGCUGCAACAUUUAUUCAGACAUUGACAGAACAAGAGAAACGAAGUUAAAUUUUAAGUACCAUGGAUUGAAAUUAAAUUUAGGGAAGAUAUUUUAUAGUAUGAAUUGUUCAUCUGUAUUUAACAAGGUAUUCAUUUAUUUUGGGCGAUUUAAGGAAGGUCCUUUCUGGAAACAGGAUUACAAACAUAUGGACCUAUUUAGUCAAUUUCAACCUUGUGAUUUUGAAUCUGACAGGUUCUCAGCUGCUUUUAUUAAAUAACGGAUUUUCUUAAUAAUUACUGUACUCAAACUUAGCAAAAAGCUCUAUUUAUAGCCCAGUUUUUUAGUCACACACUAUUGUGUCUUGUCAAAUUGAAACCAUAUACUACAUUCUUUACUUAUUAAGAUGGUCUUUCUUUGUAAUAAUUUUGGAGUAAAUAGUUUACUUAUCUAAACCUCUGAUUUCUGAUUUAACAGAUUUUUGAAGCAUUUAUUUUCCUUACCAUACAUAAAAAUUGUCAGUUGAGGACAAGGAAGGAUUAACCUGGACUACGGUGAAUAAUUGUUCAGGUUGCUUACUGUGUAACUCCAGAGGAGCAUUCACAUGGUACAAUUUGCAGAUUUAAGUAUUUAUUACAACCAUUUUCUGGCAGAUAACAGUGGAACACCCUGUUCUGUUAAAAUUAGUUUAUUAUGACAAAUUGCCUACAGAUGGACAUAAACUGUCUUGAGGAAGGGCACCUGCUUUGGACUGAAUCGUGUCCCCCCAAAAUCAAAUGUUGAAGCCUAAUCUCUAAUAUGAUGGUAUUUGGAGAUGGGGCCUUUGGGAGAUAACUAGGUUUAGAUGAGGUCAAGAGUGUGGGGCCUUCCUGAUUAGUACCCUGAAAAGAGAAAACACCAGAGAGCUUGCCCUCUCUCCCUCUUACCCCACAGGCACACAAAGAGGUCAUGUGAGUACACAGUGAGAUAACAACCACCUAUGAGAAAACAGAAGAGGCUUCAGAGUGAAAUCUACUUUGCUGGUACUGUAAUCUUGGACAUUAUUCUCUAGAACUGUGAGAUAAUAAAUUUAUCUUAUUU
rnacentral:lncRNA from 10 species